ensembl:snRNA U6atac minor spliceosomal RNA
CUGCCACUUAAAGGAGAAAAGUUUAGCACUCCCUUUGACAAGGAUGGAAGAGGCCCUUCAUCCUAACAACAUGCAUAUUGUUAAGGCAUUGACACUUACUUCCUGGUACCUAACCACUGUUUUUA